UACGUAGGUGACCAGCGUUGUCCGGAUUUACUGGGCGUAAAGAGCGCGCAGGCGGUCGUUCAAGUCGAGUGUGAAAGCCCCCGGCUCAACUGGGGAGGGUCACUCGAUACUGAUCGACUUGAAGGCAGGAGAGGGAAGCGGAAUUCUCGGUGUAGAGGUGAAAUUCGUAGAUAUCGAGAGGAACACCGGUGGCGAAGGCGGCCUUCUGGACGGCGACUGACGCUGAGACGCGAAAGCGUGGGGAGCAAACAGG
rnacentral:rRNA from 1 species